CCCAGAGCCACUGCAGUAGCUGUUGUCAGGGAAGACUGAGUGGCAGUUCUAAUUACCAGUGUCUACACUGGUUUCUCAUAGGAAGAUACAAGCUGUCACGAUCCCUUGCCAAUCACAUGAGAACUGACCUAGGGAGAACAUCAGCUGAAGACAAUACAUGUGUCACAAGCAAUGAUGAAUCAAAGAAAGAAAGCAUCCAGAAAGGGAAGUUAACCAGACAGGUAGGUCCUCAUCAGCAUCACAUUCUGUUCCAUAGCUACAAUAACAAUAAUUGAGUCAGACACAUGGAUUUUAAGUGCCUCUCAAAGAGGAAAGUUAG
rnacentral:lncRNA from 12 species